UACGUAGGUGGCGAGCGUUGUCCGGAUUUAUUGGGCGUAAAGGGAGCGUAGGCGGACUUUUAAGUGAGAUGUGAAAUACCCGGGCUCAACUUGGGUGCUGCAUUUCAAACUGGAAGUCUAGAGUGCAGGAGAGGAGAGUGGAAUUCCUAGUGUAGCGGUGAAAUGCGUAGAGAUUAGGAAGAACACCAGUGGCGAAGGCGACUCUCUGGACUGUAACUGACGCUGAGGCUCGAAAGCGUGGGGAGCAAACAGG
rnacentral:rRNA from 1 species